AUGGCUGCCUGUGGCAUGUUCGUGGCCUGCUUGGUUUCGUGGCCUGCUUGGUUCGUGUUCAUGGCACGUUCACAGCCUGUUAUGGCCUGCCCAUGGCAUGUUUGGGUCCUGCUCAGGUCGUGUCCAUGGCAUGUUUGGGUCCUGCUCACGUCCUGCUCACGUCCUGCUCAUGACCUGUUCGUGGCUGCUUGCAGCCUGCUGGGGUUCUGUUCACAGCCUGUUUUCAGCCUGCUCGUGUCCUGUUCUUGGCCUGUUCGUGGCUUGCUUGCAGCCUGCUUGAUUCCCGUUUGUGUCCCGCUCACGGUCAGCUCGUGGUCUGUUCACAGCCUUUCGUGGCCUGCUUGGAGCCUGCUCCUGUUGUAUUCAGGGCCGCUCACGUCCUGUUCACGGCUUGCUUGCAGCCUGCUCAGGGUCUGUCUGUGCUCUGCUAUGUCGUUCAUGGCCCGUUUACAGCCAGUCUGUGGCCCGCUCAGGUCCCGCUCAGGUCCCAUUCAGGUCCCGUUCAGGUCCUGCUCAGGUCCCGUUCAGGUCCCGUUCAGGUCCUGCUCCUCCCACCCCAGCCCCCCCGCUGCGGUGCCCCCCGGUUCUGCACAGCGUAGGAAGGACAGCGUUUCUGUAACCAAACCAGUCUUUGUUUCUCGUUGCCCGCUGAAGCUGCUCCCUGGGCAGCGGGAGGCAGCGCCUGUUGCACUGCGGCUUUCUUUUACCAAAGCCCAACCCUCAGAACCAAAUAGGGAGCAGCGGCCGCCCUGGGCUCUGGCCGACGAGCACUUUGUGUCUCGCAGAGCAUCUCGGUGGUGCUCCUGGAGCCCCGGCGGCGGUGCUGCGGUGCAGGCUGUGCUCCUUGGCUUCUCUGCCCCCGGCUCGGGGCUCCCCGUCACCCCGUCCUCCGGCUUGAAGGAAAGCGUUAACCUUUCUGCACCGAAUACCUCAGUUGGGAACCAGAGCUCGCGAAACUUGAAUUAAAAGGUCCUUUUUGAAGAUCCUUUUCAGUAUUCUGCAGAGAAGAACUGGAAAAAAAAAAAAAAAGAGAUUUGUUUACAUGGCUGCCGAGCCCGCGCUCGCUGCGUCCUUCAUCUCCCGGCUCCUCGCCGACGGCCGCCGCCUUUCCCUGCGGGGUGGGAGGUCGGGUCGGAGCCCUGCACCCCCGUGGCCACGGAGCCCCAGGCUGUGCCAAGCUGUGGGGUGGUGGCAGAGCUCAGAGCCGGCGCCGGGUGCGGACGUCGGCUGGGCAGCGCGUCGGUCGGUCACAGCUUUUUCCGUAUCCAGGACGAGAGAAUUCCGUAGAGCACACGAGCAUGCAGCUUUUCCUUCUCUCCUUCCCAUCGUUGUUGUCAGUAUUGUGCUUUUCGGUUCCUUUCUCCAAACCUGAUCUCUUUUGCCUUCUGUCCGCGCUGUGCGUCGUCACCGUCGCUCCGCGCGACGGCUGAACCACGAGACAAUCAAUGUGAUCUCUGUAAGGGCUUCUCCAUUUCCUCUCUGCAGCGCCGUGCUUUACGUGGACGCGUUCUUUGCUCUUAGCGAGGAGUUUUUUCUCCCCUCCCCUCGUGUCUUAUUAUAAAUGACGAUAAUAAUAAUAAUGAUGACAGUGGAGUGAAACGAGGUCUCAGCAGCGCACCGCGGUUUGGGUUCCGGGGGGUGGGGGGGGGGGAAGCGCGGCCACGUCCCUGCAGUCCCAGUCUUGUUCUCCUUUAACGCUGUAUUGUAUACAUUUGACAGCACAGCUUGACAAUUUAAGUAAUAAUCAAAGUGUUUGGUAAUAAUGCAUUAUUUUGCUAAACGAGAUUUGUGAUGGUUUCCCUAGUGCAUUGUAAGAGGGAUGGAGGGAAACUUCCGCUGCCCGGUGCCCGCUCCUCCCCGCCACCUCNNNNNNNNNNNNNNNNNNNNNNNNNNNNNNNNNNNNNNNNNNNNNNNNNNNNNNNNNNNNNNNNNNNNNNNNNNNNNNNNNNNNNNNNNNNNNNNNNNNNNNNNNNNNNNNNCCCCCCAACGAGCGCCUUUCCGCCCCCCCCCCCCUAAAGCUGUCCGUGUGGGUGUGGAACAAACAGCCCCAUCUCCCCCCUCCCCAAAACAAAAGGAAGUUUCUCUCCGCCCCCUGGUCCAAAGCACUUGCUUCAAGUAAUAAGCACUUUUGUUAAAGCAUGAGUCUGGAUUCCCUUUAGCGUCCCACGGGAUAGAGAGCAGCAGAGGAAGGGAUUACGAGAGUGUCUUUGGGUUUUUUUUUUUUAUUCUUUGAUUUUUUUUAACUUGAAAAAAGAAAAAAAAAAAGUUUGUUUCUAGGGAAUGAAUGAACAAAGGGAAAUGUGUUAUGAGAGAGAGGGGGAAAAAAAAAAAGAGAAAAAAAAAAAGAAAAAAAAAAAAAGAAAAAACAGCACAAAUACAUUUCAAGUCGGAAAGGUGUAUUUGCACUGCCAUUGCUAGAAUUCCGGGCUGCACGGCCCGGCUGAGCCAUAUAAACUGCUGACAAACACUGAAUGUAACGCACCGCCCCGAGCAGCCCGGCAGCCCCAUUGGCUUUGUCCUGACGGCCCUUCCACAGCCCCACAAAACCCAGCGGUGGUGAGGAGGUGCUCGGUGCGUUUCCUUGUUGCUGUUCCCGAGCUGCAGGCGAUUUGUGUUUCCUUAGGGAGAUGUGAGACCCCAUCCCUGUGCCCCCCCAGCCCCGGUCCGGUCCCCCAGCCCAAAGCACCGCCGAGGUCCCGGCCCCACCGACCCGGGGCUGAGUCUGACAGUCCGAAAGUAGCACUGAUAGCAGAGCGAAAGCUCCAAAAAAAAAAAGAUAAAAAUAGGAAAAAAAGAUAAGAGGAAAGGCUUUAGGUUGCGAGCAGCCCGAGCGCCGCAGCCAAAACAGAGAACAAACCGGAGACCCCAGAAACAACCUUUUUGGUUCAUUUGCGUUGUGCGUGGGGCCGGGGGCUGCGUCCCCCCCCAGCUCCCCCCAUAGGGACCACAGAACCGUGAGCAUCGUGUCUGAGCUGCGCAGAGCGCGUCCCACUUUGCCUUCAGUAAGAAACCAAAGGACAAAACCCACCCCUUGCCAUUCGGAAUAGCGCGCGUUGUUCGCUUUGGGGCAGUUGGUUUUUUUUCUUUCUUUCUUUUCCUUUUUUUCUUUUUGCUUUUCUGUUCGUUUCUUUCUUCCUUUCUCUCCAAGGACGCCAGGAGCUGGUGGCACCUCUUCUCCCAGCGGCGCUUUUUCGGGGCAGCGGGAAGGGGACGCGUCUCCGAGGACUUGAAGGCAUCUGUAGCAAGCUCUGUGUCUUUACAAUAUCCUGUGUGUAAAUGCUGCACCUCUGUAUAUUAUGCACAUAAACGUUUCUUUGAAUACGAUAGGACAGACCUCAUCAGCAGUCAGGUACAACGACUCUUCCUCCUCUUGUCCCGCUGUCCCUGUGUGCGUGUGGAUCCGCGUGUCUGGGCGUUGUCUGAGCUCGUUCCGAUGCAAAGAAGGAGGAAAAAAGUAAUAAUAAGAGGAACAUGGCCUUACUCGAUCCCGUCCCAUUGAUCUUGUUCAACUUGACCGUAAUAAAGUGAACGCAUGGAAAGCUGUGGCCUGGCUG
rnacentral:lncRNA from 1 species